AGAGUUUGAUCAUGGCUCAGGACGAACGCUGGCGGCGCGCUUAACACAUGCAAGUCGAGCGAGAACCCAGGCUUCGGCCUGGGGGACAGCGGCGAACGGGUGAGUAACACGUGGGUAAUCUGCCCUCGGCAUCGGGAUAGCCCGGGGAAACCCGGAUUAAUACCGAAUGGCCCAUCCGCUCCUCGGAGCGGCUGGAAAAGGUAGCUUCGGCCUCCGGCCGAGGAGGAGCCCGCGGCGGAUUAGCUUGUUGGUGGGGUAACGGCCUACCAAGGCUCCGAUCCGUAGCUGGUCUGAGAGGACGAUCAGCCACACUGGGACUGAGACACGGCCCAGACUCCUACGGGAGGCAGCAGUGGGGAAUCUUGCGCAAUGGGCGAAAGCCUGACGCAGCAACACCGUGUGAGCGACGAAGGCCUUCGGGUCGUAAAGCUCUGUUGUUGGGGACGAAGGGUUAGGGGUUAAUAGCCCCAAGCCUGACGGUACCCUUCGAGGAAGCCCCGGCUAACUACGUGCCAGCAGCGGCGGUAAUAC
rnacentral:rRNA from 1 species